rnacentral:rRNA from 1 species
UACGUAGGGGGCGAGCGUUGUCCGGAUUCAUUGGGCGUAAAGAGCUCGUAGGCGGCUUGGCAAGUCGGAUGUGAAAACUCCAGGCUCAACCUGGAGCCGCCAUUCGAUACUGCUAUGGCUAGAGUCCGGUAGGGGAGUGUGGAAUUCCCGGUGUAGCGGUGAAAUGCGCAGAUAUCGGGAGGAACACCGAUGGCGAAGGCAGCACUCUGGGCCGGUACUGACGCUGAGGAGCGAAGCGUGGGGAGCGAACGAG